rnacentral:lncRNA from 1 species
CCUUUUUCGUACUUUUUGUUUUUGUCCUUUUCUUUUUAAGAGGAGGUUCAUCCAGAUGCCUUCUCCUGACCCAGCUUACUCACUGGAAAAUAGGAUGGAGCAAACAGAAUUAGGAUUUAACCCCAUUCAAGGUGCAGAAGAAUUCGAAGGAGAUGCUACAACUGGGCCAUAUAGCAAAUCAUCUAGACAACAUGUGGAAGGUUGGCUACCCUUUGGAGCUUGAUACAUAGAAUAAUUUCAGGAGAGGAGACUCACUAACUCCCCAAGUUGAGAAAGUGAACUGUUUGGAGAAGGCACCAUAAAGAAGCCUACAAAAACCAUACACUGCAUCAAGUGAUCCAGAGUGAAAGUUGGGAUGUAAUGAAUUGAACUGAAAGGGGUUGAACACACUUAUUUUGAUUGUAAACUUUUAUGCCAGAGGAGAUUGCCCCCCUAAUUAUCUUUUUGUCAAUGAGCCUACCAAUCAUUGGUUUUGUUCUCUUUCUCUUUUAUUUCUCUCAUAUCUCCGAUUAUUGUAAUUUUCUCUUAGAUAGUACAAUAUUUUAUGUAUCUGAGGUUAUUUAAAAUAAUUCAUUGUGGAGAUUAGGUAUGUAAAUCUGGGAGAUUUCAACAGACUCAUCUCCCAAUAGAAUCACAGGGUGGAUUGGAUAGAUAGAAAACCACUCCCUAAAUUUGUCCUACCCUGCAUCCUAUUUUAUGUGUGUACUUUGCGUGAUGGCUGGGGAACAGGAAUAAAAAGAUAUGGUGUGUGAGGAGAGGUCUCUUU